rnacentral:pre_miRNA from 1 species
CAACUACUCCCUCUAUCCCAAAUUUCUUGUCUUAGAUUUGUCUAGAUACGGAUGUAUCUAAUACUAAAAUGUGACUUGAUACAUCCAUAUCUAGACAAAUCUAAGACAAGAAUUUUGGGACGGAGGGAGUAAUUU